AGUCAAGUAUGACUGCCACAGAGAAAUGGUCCCAUCCAGGAAAUCAGAUAUUGAGUCCUACCUGAGUUUCCAGCAAGAAGGUACGGACUUGCUGUUAGGAUGGGAAUUAUGGAUCAGGAAUUGCCCUGAGAUGGGGUCCUGGUAACAGAUAGACUCUAGGAUAGGAUUCCCUCCUGGGGAUUGCGGCAGAGUGUACUUGCAAGUGGAGCCUUGAAGGUGUCUUUGCUCAGUUCAAAAGCCACAGAAGAAGUUCUGGACGAUGUGGGCCUUCAAUCUUCUAAGAUGGGAAUAGAAAGAAGAGGAUCUACCCAGACCAGGACCCUGCUGCCCAAUCUCAGCUCUGGCUUUCUGGAUCUGUGCUUCUCUGGUAGAGGAACCCUGAGGACUGAUCUACUCUUGCAGUUCUAAAACCAUGGCCCAUGCCUCGCUAUUCCCUGGGACACAACAAUAUUGAACGUAGGCUAGUUAAUAGCCCUACAAUCUCCUCUAAGUGUUCGAGUGAAAGGAAGAGUCACAUGUGUCUCACUUUAAACCAAAAGCUAGAAAUGAUUAAACUUAGUGAGGAAAGCAUGUUGAAAGUCCAGACAGGCUGGAAGCGAGGUCUCCUGUGCCAAACAGCAGGCCAAGUUGCACAUGCAAAGGAAAUGUUCUCGAAGCAAAUUAAAAGUAUUACUCCAGUGAACACACAAUGACAAGAAAGCGAAACAGUUUUAUUGCUGAUGUGGAGAAAGUUUUAGUGGUCUGGAUAGAAGAUCAAACCAGCCACAACGUUCUGUUAAGCCUAAACCUAAUCCAGAGCAAGGCCCUAAUGCUCUUCAAUUCUAUGGAGGCUGAGAGUUGAGGAAGCUGUGGAAGAAAAGUUUGAAGCUAGCAGAGAAUAAUUCAUGAGGUUGAAAGAAAGAAGCUGUCUCCAGAACAUAAAAGUGCAAGGUGAAGCAGCAAGUGCUGAUGGAGAACCUCCAGCAUGUGAUCCAGAAGACCUAGCUGAAAUAACUGAUGAGGGUGACUGCAUUAAAUAACAAAUUUUCAUUGUAGACAAAACAGCCUUCUAUUCAAAGAAGAUGCCAUCUAGGACUUUCAUGGCUAGAGAGGAGUCAAUGGCCGGCUUCAAAGCUUCAAAGGAAAUGCCAUGUCUCCUGUUAGGGGCUAAUGCACCUAGUAACUUUAAGUCAAAGCUCAUGUGUAUUUACCGUAAUGAAAGUCCUAGGAUCCUAAAGAAGGGUGCUAAAUCUACUCUGCUUGUGCUCUAUAAGUAGAAGAACAAAGCCUAGAUGACAGCACAUCUCUUUAUAGCAUAGUUCACUGAAGAUUUUAAGCCCAAUAUUGAGACCCACUGCCAAGAAAGAUAGAUCAUUUUCAAAAUAUUACUGCUCACUGACAAUGUGCCUCAUCACCCAAGAGAUGUGAUGGAGAUGUAUAAGGAGAUUAAUGUGGUUUUCAUGCCUAUUAACACAACAUCCAUUCUUCAGCCAAUGAAUCAAGGAUUAAUUUUGACUUUCAAGUCUUAUUUAAGAAACACAUUUUGUAUGGCAAUAGCUGCCAUAGAUAGCAGUUCUUCUCAUGGAUCUAGGGAAAGUAAACUGAAAACCUUGUGGAAAAGAUUCAGCAUUCUAGAUGCAAUUAAGAAUACCUGUGAUUCAUGGGAAGAAGUCAGGUAUCAACAUGAACAGAAGUUUGGAAGAAGUUAAUUCCAACCCUCACGGAUGACUUUCAGAGGUUCAAGACUUCAGUGGAGGAAGUAACUGCUGCAGUUACUUGUGGUGGAAAUAACAAGAGAAAUAGAAUUAGAAGUGGAGCUUGAUGAUGUGACUGAAUUGCUGCAACCUCAUGAUCAAACUUGAAUGGAUUAAGAAUCUACUCCUGGUGAAGAUGCUUUGAACAUUGCUGAAAGGACAAGGAUAUUAAAAUAUUACAUUAAUUUAGUUGAUACAGCAGUGGCAGGGUUUGAGAAGAUUGACUCUAGUUUUGAAAGAAGUUCUAUUUGAGUAAAAUGCUAUCAAACAGCACCACAUGCUACAGAGACAUCUUUCAUGAAAGGGAGAGUGAACUGAUGCAGCAAACUUCUUUGUCUUAUUUUAAUAAAAUGUUAUACCCACCUCAACCUUUAGCACCCACCAGUCAGCAGCUAUCAAUAUCAAGGCAAGACCAUUCACCAACAACAAAAAAAAUGACAACUCGCUGAAGGCUCAGAUGAUCAUUAGCAAUUUUCAGCAAUAAAGUGUUUUUAAUUAAGGUAUCUGCAUUGAUUUUUUUUUAAGAUGAAAUUUUGCUCUUGUCACCCAGGCUGGAGUGCAGUGCUGCAAUCUCAGCUCACUGCAGCCUCCGCCUCCCGGGUUCAAGUGAUUCUUCUGCCUCAGCCUCCUUAGUGGCUGGGAUUACAGGUGCCUAGCACCACGCCCAGCUAAUUUUUAUAUUUUUGGUAGAGACGGGGUUUCACC
rnacentral:lncRNA from 1 species